rnacentral:rRNA from 1 species
AUUGAACGCUGGCGGCAGGCCUAACACAUGCAAGUCGAGCGGUAACACAGAGGAGCUUGCUCCUUGGGUGACGAGCGGCGGACGGGUGAGUAAUGCCUGGGGAUCUGCCCGAUAGAGGGGGAUAACUACGGGAAACUGUAGCUAAUACCGCAUAAUGUCUACGGACCAAAGUGGGGGCUCUUCGGACCUCAUGCUAUCGGAUGAACCCAGGUGGGAUUAGCUAGUUGGUGGGGUAAUGGCUCACCAAGGCGACGAUCUCUAACUGGUUUGAGAGUAUGACCAGUCACACUGGAACUGAGACACGGUCCAGACUCCUACGGGAGGCAGCAGUGGGGAAUAUUGCACAAUGGGCGCAAGCCUGAUGCAGCCAUGCCGCGUGUGUGAAGAAGGCCUUCGGGUUGUAAAGCACUUUCAGCGGGGAGGAAGGGCUACUAGUUAAUACCUAGUGGCAUUGACGUUACUCGCAGAAGAAGCACCGGCUAACUCCGUGCCAGCAGCCGCCGUAAUAC